AUAGGUCUUUUGGUAAAGCUCUCAGGAUUUCCUAUAUACUAGAUCACAUCUUCUGCCAGAGACCAGGUUCUUCUUCUCUUUGGUCAGGACGCUUAUUUCUUUUCCUGUUUAUGAUGAUUAGAACUGUCAGUGAUUCUUUUGAAGGGAUGAGAACAAAUUCCCUUUCUCCUGAUUGGAGAAACAGUUCAGUCUUUCACUGCAAUACUCAGAUUGAGGGAGAAGUUCUUCAUCUCUUAGUUUUUGAGUACUUUAUGAUAAAAUGUUGGGCAAAUGUUUUAUAAUUGCUGCUUUUAUAAGAAUCUUACUACUUCAAACUAAUAUUUUAGAUGAACAGGUAUUUUUUAGAAUAACAUACCAUUGCUUAUGUCUUCCUUGUCUAAAUGAAUUUUAUGGGUUGUUCACUUUCAAUGAACAAAGAUUAAUUUUUCAAUUUUCCUUAUUUUCUUCCACCCCUCUUUUCUUUUCUUUUUUUUAAAUAGGAGUAACUUUAUUUAUGGCUCAUAUUUGAGUAAAGAAGAAAUUGCUUUCUCAGAUCCCACUCCUGAUGGAAAGCUGUUUGCAACACAGUACUGUGGCACUGGUCAGUUUCUGGUCUAUAAUUUUAUCAAUGGACAGAAUACCACCUAAUACCGAUCCUGCUUACUGUGCCAGAAGACAUCUUUGAAGAGAAAGAAUUGGUUGCUGACUUUAUCCAGGAACUAGGGCCAUUUUUUUACAAAUGAACUCAGGACUGGCAACAACCAUAUGGUUGUUCCAUUUUCAUAAAAUUGGAAACAAUGCAGUAAUAGCUUAUUAUUGUUUUGUUUUUUUAAAGAAGAUAUUUUAUUAUCUUUUACAGAAAUUUAUGAUUGUAUUUUAUCUAUAGUUAUUUAGACAUGUUUACAUGCAGCAGAUAAUUGUUCAUAGUGGACUGAAAAUUAAUGCAAGGACUAUGGUCUCAGUGAUAAGUAUAUUUUGAAGUUCUUAAUAUGGAAAUAUACCAGUGUAGCUUGGUACUGUAUUUUUUUAUAUUGAUCUACCGAUACCAGUUAUAGGUUUAAAGACUGUAUUUUCAAAGUGAAAAACCAAUGCUUUUGAGUUACUAUUCAAAGAGAGUACAGUAUUACACAUUUAAGAAUUUGAAGUUACUAAAGUAUACUCUAAGGAGACCCCACAGGAAAGGAGAGCUCCAAGUAAAAGAACUUGUAUAA
rnacentral:lncRNA from 1 species